GACGAACGCUGGCGGCGUGCUUAACACAUGCAAGUCGAGCGAUGAAGCACCUUCGGGUGUGGAUUAGCGGCGAACGGGUGAGGAACACGUGAGGAAUCUGCCUUCCACUCUGGGAUAACUCCGGGAAACCGGGGCUAAUACCGGAUACUUUCAACUGGUGGCAUCGCCGGUUGAAGAAAGUUUUUCGGUGGAAGAUGACCUCGCGGCCUAUCAGCUUGUUGGUGAGGUAAUGGCUCACCAAGGCGACGACGGGUAGCCGGCCUGAGAGGGCGUCCGGCCACACUGGGACUGAGACACGGCCCAGACUCCUACGGGAGGCAGCAGUGGGGAAUAUUGGGCAGUGGAGGAAACUCUGACCCAGCGACGCCGCGUGAGGGAUGAAGGCCUUCGGGUUGUAAACCUCUUUCAGCAGGGAAUAAGCGAAAGUGAAGGUACCUGCAGAAGAAGCACCGGCUAACUAUGUGCCAGCCGCCGCAGUAAAAC
rnacentral:rRNA from 1 species